rnacentral:rRNA from 1 species
GACGAACCGUGCGAGCGUUGUUCGGAUUCACUGGGCGUAAAGGGUGCGUAGGCGGUCGGGUAAGUCUGAUGUGAAAUCUCACAGCUUAACUGUGAAACUGCAUUGGAUACUAUUCGGCUUGAGAGUUGGAGGGGGGACUGGAAUUCUUGGUGUAGCAGUGAAAUGCGUAGAUAUCAAGAGGAACACCAGUGGCGAAGGCGAGUCCCUGGACAACUUCUGACGCUGAGGCACGAAAGCUAGGGGAGCAAACAGG